rnacentral:rRNA from 1 species
CGGAUUCAAGUCCUACCGAGGGUACGGGGCGUAAACUGCCAGAUGGUGCCGGUCGCCCGCUCGCGAUUCAUUUCGCCCGCGGUGUCGUCACCGGCGACUACUCGGCUAACCUCGUUUUGCCGGCCCCGGAGGGGUGCACUUCCUCCCUAGUAGAAACGUCGCGACCCGUUGGGUGCCGGCCUCAAGGCCCGGGAAGGCAGACCGACCUGUCCCGCGGGGGUUCCCGCGGGCGGGCGGACUCCCGGUGUCCCGGCCGGCUGCUCGACGGUAUUACCAGAGGAGUCGAUCCGCUGCCUAGGAGCGUCCGGCCCGGCGCCGGCGUGCUGCGGGGAUUUUCGAACGCUGGGUGCCCGUGCUCGCACGGCCCCGACCCUGCCGCGCUGGUCGUCCGGUGUCCUCGGACCGGGUCAGCACUCCCGUCCGCGACGACCACCUUCGGAUGGUCUCCCG